UGCGUGAGAGCCACGGACCACAUUCACGGGAGAGCCAGGAGGGAGAGUGAGAGCCGCCAGGAUGUUUACCCCCGACCAGAGGUGGAGUUUGUUUUGAGAGAGCUUUGCUUCCCUCGGGAUUUGCCGUGGAGACACUGCUGCUCUGGGGACAGCACCGACGUCCUUCUGUACCUGCUUCUUUCAGUGUUUCCCAGAGAAAUGCUGGACAAGGGAGGAAAAGGUUCUACGGCUUCGAAGACAAGGCGGAACAUGCUUCUGUACCGGCUUUACCUCAGUAUCUCCCCAGGAAGUGUGGACAAAGAGGGAAAAGGUCAUCCACGUUACCCAAGGCACUAAUGCAGUCUCCCCACAGAGCGUCUUACUCCAUGGGUGAUUAGCUUCACCUCCUUGGGAGAACUAGGUCUGCUGGGGCUUGUGCUCUGUAACA